rnacentral:rRNA from 1 species
AUGCCAAAGCGGCGGCGGCACGGUGAGCUUGCCUGCUGCCGUGAGCGACUUUACCUUGUAUUCGAUGACUGGUGCCAUGGAUAUACCAUCCGCGAGGUAAACUUGUUGCCCGGCAAGAACCAUCAGACUGCGGUCACAGGCCAUGCCUCUGUGCGUCGCCAUGCCGCCGUGCGUCGUUUUCCAAAACCAUCCUUCCGCAUGGUGGCGCGGCGUUGGUGUCCCAAGUUCUUCAUGUCAGCCUUUGGCACCAGGAUCUUGGCGAUGCAACCCAGAGAUCCCGAGGGUGACUUGUCCGAGAGGUACUUCCCCACGCUGGACGUCCGCUCGCGGGCCGCCGCCAUUAGCCCUGCUCCAGAAUGGCUUAUGGGAACCAUCCACNNNNNNNNNNGGAGUGGUCAUGGAAAGAGCUCUCGAAACAGCCAUUCAAUGUUCUGGACGUCACCUCCUACUCUUUGCACCCUGAAGAACAGACCUUCCAAGUCAGCACCAAGAAGGAUGUCAUUGAGGCCACCUUCGCUUUUGACACGGAUAAGCUUUCAUGGAAACUACUUGGCAGUUUUUUUUUUGCCAUAA